rnacentral:lncRNA from 1 species
UGGAGAUCCAGGAAAACUGGGAACGUGUGUGAUGUCACAGAACACAGGAGGAAAGCGGCAUUUAUUGUUUCCCCAGAAAGAAGAGGUCAAGAGAACUGAAUCAGCCCAGAAGAUGAACAUUGGCCUUAUAGACCGCCACUUUGGUUCCCUGCUGAGGGCAGGUGUGGACAGGUGAGCCUGGCAGCGGUGAGCUGAGGUACACAGGGGAGGUGAGGAAGUGUGGUGAGGGCGCCUAUGGAAGGGAGUUCCAAGACCCAGUGGCCACUAUGUGGGCAUGUCAAGGCAAGCAGGGAAGGGGCUCUGAGUGUUUUGUUAAUGACUUGAGCUGGUUACAUGCAGAUAGGAAAGCCUAGCCCAGAGGGGAGGGGGAAAGACAUACGGAAAGAGAGGAUCUCUGAUGGAACCCAUGGAUUGUGAAAUCCAGAACCCAGGUGCUGAGAGUCAGCUGGACAGGAAGAGGGAUGCAACAUCCAUCAAGACACAGAGAACAGCAAAGGGUGCAGUCACUCCCAGAAAGUGGGUGACCAAGAGGGCUGGAGCUGCUUCUGCUGGUUUCUAGCUUCCUGUCUUUCUUUUUAACUUGGGGGAUAUCGUCUUUAGGAAGGGCUCUUCCAAAUCAGGGAAGGUAGAAGCCAUCCCAGGAGUGACUGGCCUGGGGCCCUGAUGCAGCUGCGAGGGCAGGUGGCCAUCCUUGAGCGUCCGUCCCAGCUAGCCUGUGAGACAGCGACUCACUUAUUCCAAUGGGGACUGACCUCAGGCUCCAGGAGGACAUAUUUUUCUCACUGCCCAGACCAAGGAAAUUAUGCCUAGAGUUCACCAGCUUGCUGUGGCAAAUAUGCUCUGUAGAAACACAUGGUCGUGGCGUGGCUCUGCGGACACCUGGGCUUGUGAGCCCCUGCCACGGACUCUUGGGGCUCUUCCAGCAAUACCCCAAGCACACUGUGUGGGCUCCCCCCAACAUUGGUCAUCACAUCCAUCAUGGAUCAUGACCAUGUGGUUAAAUCCAAUAUCAUUUUGUGUAGGUUCCUGAAGAGCAAGAACCGUAUGUUUUUUAUCUUUAUGGCCUUAUUCAAAAUUGUUCUCUGUCAAACUAAUUUCUUUCUUUCUUUUUUUCUUUCUUUCUUUUUUUUUCCUAAAUCCUAUUGUCCUCAUCUCCUUCUUCCGGCACUCACAUGAGUGUUUGAAUGAGAUGAUGGCUAGGAAUUUACAACCCCACCCUGGCCCCUUCCCAGGAGCCCAGAUCAGAAUGCAGAAUUCCAUAUCUUCAACCCUUCCCACCAAAAGAGAAUUUCUGGGAGUUCGUAGAAACCCAGUUUGGCUCUCUCUGUCCAGCGGCUGUGCCUUCGCCCUUCAUUAAUUCAAUCUCAGGGAUUGUUACAAAGAGAUGGGCCACAUUCCAAUCAUGUCAUCACUAGGGAGACAAUAAAAUGUCCUAAUGGCCAUAAAGGCUACAAGCUGUCACAGAGAUAAAGGCGGGUCUCUAGUCCUUCUGGAACAAGGGCCUUCUGCAGGGGAACAGAACGCGGUCUCUGGAACACUGGACUUGCUCACUCAGCAGAAAACUGAAAAACAUUUCCAGCUUUGAAGCCCUCAUUGGCUCUAUCUAGCAGAGGACAGAAC